CCCUUAGAUGUCCUGGGCCGCACGCGUGCUACACUGACGCCUACAGCGAGUACUUCCCAGCCCCGAGAGGUGGCUGGUAAUCAGCAAUAGGCGUUGUGAUGGGGAUAGAUCUUUGGAAUUAUGGAUCUUGAACGAGGAAUGCCUAGUAAGCGCAGGUCAUUAGCCUGCGCUGAUUAAGUCCCUGCCCUUUGUACACACCGCCCGUCGCUCCUACCGAUUGAAUGGUCCGGUGAAGCGUUCGGACCGUGGCCUUUGGACGGUUCGCCGUCUGUUGGCUGCGGGAAGUUCGUUAAACCUUAUCAUUUAGAGGAAGGAGAAGUCGUAACA
rnacentral:rRNA from 1 species